CCGCGUGAGUGAUGAAGGCCUUCGGGUCGUAAAACUCUGUCCUCAAGGAAGAUAAUGACGGUACUUGAGGAGGAAGCCCCGGCUAACUACGUGCCAGCAGCCGCGGUAAUACGUAGGGGGCUAGCGUUAUCCGGAUUUACUGGGCGUAAAGGGUGCGUAGGCGGUCUUUCAAGUCAGGAGUGAAAGGCUACGGCUCAACCGUAGUAAGCUCUUGAAACUGGGAGACUUGAGUGCAGGAGAGGAGAGUGGAAUUC
rnacentral:rRNA from 1 species